rnacentral:rRNA from 1 species
AUGAACGCCUAGCGGCAGGCUUAAUACAUGCAAGUCGUGGGGGCAGCAGUCCCGCAGCAAUGCGGGAGCUGGCGACCGGCAAACGGGUGCGGAACACGUACACAACCUUCCUUUAAGUGGGGAAUAGCCCGGGGAAACCCGGAUUAAUACCCCGUAACAUAGUGAAGUGGCAUCACUUUAUUAUUAUAGCAGCAAUGCGCUUAUAGAUGGGUGUGCGACUGAUUAGGCAGUUGGCGGGGUAACGGCCCACCAAACCUACGAUCAGUAACUGGUGUGAGAGCACGACCAGUCACACGGGCACUGAGACACGGGCCCGACUCCUACGGGAGGCAGCAGUAAGGAAUAUUGGUCAAUGGACGCAAGUCUGAACCAGCCAUGCCGCGUGGGAGGAUGAAGGUCUCUGCUGGAUUGUAAACUUCUUUUAUCUGGGAAGAAACCCAUGAAUUCUUUUGUGGUUGACGGUACCCAGAUGAAUAAGCACCGGGCUAACUCCGUGCCAGCAGCCGCGGUAAUACGGAGGGGUGCAAGCGUUAUCCGGAGUUCACUGGGUUUAAAGGGUGCGGUAGGGUGGGCUGGUAAGGUCAGUGGUGAAAUCUCCAGGCUUAACUUGGAAACUGCCAUUGAUACUAUCAGGUCUUGAAUACCGUGGAGGUCAGCGGAAUAUGUCAUGUAGCGGUGAAAUGCGUAGAUAUGACAUAGAACACCAAUUGCGAAGGCAGCUGGCUACACGAAUAUUGACACUGAUGCACGAAAGCGUGGGGAUCAAACAGGAUUAGAUACCCUGGUAGUCCACGCCCUAAACGAUGGAUACUCGGACAUAGCGCGAUAUACUGUGUGUGUCUGAGCGAAAGCAUUAAGUAUCCCACCUGGGUAAGUACGAUCGCAAGAUUGAAACUCAACAGGAAUUGGCGGGGGUCCGCACAAGCGGUGGAGCAUGUGGUUUAAUUCGAUGAUACACGAGGAACCUUACCUGGGCUAGAAUGUCACACGACAGAGGGUGAAAGCUCUCCUUAUAGCAAUAUACGUGUGAUAAGGUGCUGCAUGGCUGUCGUCAGCUCGUGUCGUGAGGUGUUGGGUUAAGUCCCCGCAACGAGCGCAACCCCCAGUUCCCUAGUUGCAUAAGGUAAAGCCUGGAACUCUGUGAAACUGCCGUGCCGUAAAGACCGUGAGGAAGGAUGGGGACUGACUGUCAAGGUCCAUCAUGGUCCCUUACUGCCAGGGCUACACACGUGCUACAAUGGGACGGUACAAGAGUUGCAGAACCUAGCGAUAGUGAAGGCCAAUCUCAAAAAGCCGUCUCUCAGUUCGAGAUUGGAGGCUGCAACUCGCCUCCUGAAGCUGGAAUCGCUAGUAAUCGUGGAUCAGCGUACGCCACGGUGAAUACGUUCCCAGGCCUUGUUACACACCGCCCGUCACAUCACGAAAGCUGGCUGUACUAGAAGUAGCUGAGCUAACCCGCAAAGGGAGGCAGGUUCCUAAGGGUAUGGUC